GCCCGGGUGGCGGAAUUGGCAGACGCGCUAGGUUCAGGUCCUAGUUCUCUUAACGAGAUUGGGGGUUCGACCCCCCCCUCGGGCACCA
rnacentral:tRNA from 1 species